rnacentral:rRNA from 1 species
UACGUUGGGAAGGGAUAAGCGCUGAAAGCAUCUAAGCACGAAACCCACUUCAAGAUGAGUUCUCAUAGGGUCGUCGAAGACUACGACGUUGAUAGGUUACAGGUGUAAAGAUGGUAACAUCAAAGCCGAGUAAUACUAAUAACCCAUCGACUUUUUAAA